UAGAGUUUGAUCAUGGCUCAGGACGAACGCUGGCGGCGUGCCUAAUACAUGCAAGUCGAGCGGGUUUAUCCUUCGGGGUAAGCUAGCGGCGGACGGGUGAGUAACACGUAAGCAACCUGCCUUCAAGACUGGGAUAACUAUCGGAAACGAUAGCUAAGACCAGAUAACUGGUUUUCUCGCAUGAGAGAAUUAUGAAACACGGAGCAAUCUGUGGCUUGAAGAUGGGCCUGCGGCGCAUUAGCUAGUUGGUGAGGUAACGGCUCACCAAGGCGACGAUGCGUAGCCGACCUGAGAGGGUGACCGGCCACACUGGGACUGAGACACGGCCCAGACUCCUACGGGAGGCAGCAGUAGGGAAUCUUCCGCAAUGGGCGCAAGCCUGACGGAGCAACGCCGCGUGAGUGAUGAAGGCCUUCGGGUUGUAAAACUCUGUCUUCUGUGAAGAACAAGCCUGUGAGUGGAAAGCUCAGGCCUUGACGGUAACAGAGGAGGAAGCCCCGGCUAACUACGUGCCAGCAGCCGCGGUAAU
rnacentral:rRNA from 1 species